rnacentral:piRNA from 1 species
UGACCUCAGUUUCCACUGAAUAAUCCCUGC